GCGUAAGUGAUGGAUAAUCGGUAGAUAUUCCGAUACCACUAAUUAUUGAUUGAUCGAUGGAGGGAAGCAGAAGGAUAGGAUAGCCAACAGAUGGAGGUUGGUCUAAGAGAAGAGAUAGCAUGUAGAGGCAAAUCCAUAUAUGCGAUUAAGUUGAUUCUUUAUGGGGAGACGAAUGAGUUGAAGUAUCUGAUUUCACACUGACGAGAAAAACUUCUAGGUAGAUAAUUAGUGCCCGUACCACAAACCGACACAGGUAGGCGAGGUGAGAAUCCAAAGACCAGCGGAAGAAUUGCAGUUAAGGAACUCGGCAAAUUGACCCCGUAAGUUAGCGAGAAGGGGUGCCAUAGAGAUAUGGUCGCAGAGAAUAGGCCCAAGCAACUGUUUAUCAAAAACACAGGUCUCUGCAAAAGCGAAAGCUUAAGUAUAGGGGCUGACGCCUGCCCGGUGCUGGAAGGUUAAGGGGAGCUGUUAUCGUAAGAGAAGCAGUGAACUUAAGCCCCAGUAAACGGCGGCCGUAACUAUAACGGUCCUAAGGUAGCGAAAUUCCUUGUCAGGUAAGUUCUGACCCGCACGAAUGGCGUAAUGACUUGGGCGCUGUCUCAACUGCAAAUCCGGCGAAAUUGUAGUGCAAGUGAAGAUGCUUGCUACCCGCGAUUGGACGGAAAGACCCCGUAGAGCUUUACUGUAAUUUAGCAUUGAGUUUUGGUAAUAUUUGUACAGGAUAGGUGGGAGACUGGGAAUCUAGAUCGUCAGAUUUAGAGGAGUCGAUGUUGGGAUACCACCCUGAUAUUGCUGAAAUUCUAACUGGGAUCCAUGAACUGGGUACAGGACACUGUUAGAUGGGCAGUUUGACUGGGGCGGUCGCCUCCAAAAGAGUAACGGAGGCGUUCAAAGGUUUCUUCAGAAGGGAUGGAAAUCCUUCGUAGAGCGUAAAGGCAUAAAGAAGCUUGACUGCGACACCUACAAGUGGAGCAGGUACGAAAGUAGGACUUAGUGAUCCGGUGGUACCUCGUGGGAGGGCCAUCGCUCAACGGAUAAAAGCUACCUCGGGGAUAACAGGCUGAUCUCCCCCAAGAGUUCACAUCGACGGGGAGGUUUGGCACCUCGAUGUCGGCUCGUCGCAUCCUGGGGCUGAAGUAGGUCCCAAGGGUUGGGCUGUUCGCCCAUUAAAGCGGCACGCGAGCUGGGUUCAGAACGUCGUGAGACAGUUCGGUCCCUAUCCGUCGCGGGCGCAGGAGAUUUGAGAGGAGCUGUCCUUAGUACGAGAGGACCGGGAUGGACUAACCAAUGGUGAACCAGUUGUUCCGCCAGGAGCACGGCUGGGUAGCUAAGUUAGGAAGGGAUAAACGCUGAAGGCAUCUAAGCGUGAAGCCCACCUUAAGAUAAGAUCUCCCAUAGCGUAAGCUAGUAAGACCCCUUGAAGAACACAAGGUUGAUAGGUAAAAGGUGUAAGUAUGGUAACAUAUUUAGCUGAUUUAUACUAAUAGGUCGAGGGCUUGACCAAAAUUA
rnacentral:rRNA from 1 species